UACGAAGGUGGCAAGCGUUACCCGGAAUGAUUGGGCGUAAAGGGUCCGUAGACUGUUCGAAAAGUUCUUGGUCAAAUCUUGAGGCUCAACCUCAAGACUGCUGAGAAUACUUUUGAACUUGAGACUGGAAGAGGCAAGCGGAAUUGCCGGUGUAGUAGUAAAAUGCGUUGAUAUCGGCAAGAACACCAAAAGCGAAGGCAGCUUGCUAGGACAGUUCUGACGUUCAGGGACGAAAGCGUGGGUAGCGAAUGGG
rnacentral:rRNA from 1 species